UUGAUCCCUUUAUUACUAUAUGAUGACCUUCUUUACCUCUUAUUACAAUCUUGGCCUAAAGUCUAUUUUGUCUGAUAUGCCUAGCUCUUUUUUUUCCUCUCUUUUUUAUUUGCUCUUGCAUUUGCAUGAAAUAACAUUUUCUAUCCCUCCUCUUCUUGUCUGUGUCCUUAAAGCUGAACUGAGUCUCUCAUAGGCAGCAUAUAGUUGAGUCUUGCUUUUUUCUCCAUUCAGUCACUCUAUAGCUUUUGAUUGGAGAAUUGACAUUUGAAGUAAUUAUUGAUAGAUGUAGACUUGUUGCCAUUUUGGUAAUUGUUUUCUGGUUGUUUUAUAAUCCCUUUGNGGCCACUCCCACGGCAUAUGGAGGUUCCAGGCUAGGGGUCUAAUUGGAGCUGUAGACACUGGCCUAUACCAGAGCCACAGCAAGGCGGGAUCUGAGCCGCAUCUGCAACCUACACCACAGCUCACGGCAACGCUGGAUCCUUAACCUACCGAGCAAGGCCAGGAAUUGAACCCAUAACCUCAUGGUUCCUAGUCAGAUUUGUUAACCACUGCGCCACGACAGGAACUCCCCUUUCUCUUUCUCUUGCUCUCUCUCUCUUUUUUUUAAAAAAAAUUUUUUUUUUUUUUUGUGAUCUAACCUGUAGUGGUUUGCUUAGAUUCCUUGAUCCUUUGUGUGUCUACUAUAAGUUUUGCUUUGUGGUUACCAUGAAGUUUACAUAAAGAAACUUAUAUUUAUAACAGUGUCUUUUAGGCUGAUGAUAACCUAACUUUGAAUCUGUAUUAAAGCUCCAAAUUUGUACUCUCUCUCCAUAGCUUUAUGUUUUUGAUACCAUAGUUCACAUCUCUUUAACACUGUGUAACCAUUAACAGAUUAUUGUCAGUAUAGUUAUUUUUAAUAAUUUUGUCUUUUAACCCACAUUUAGAUAUAUAAGUGAUUUACCCAGCACCAUUACAACAUUAGAGUAUUCCAGCUUUAUAUUUACUUUUACCAGUGAGAUUCAUACCUUCAUAUUCUUUCCUGUUACUAAUUAGCAUCCAUUUGUUUCAGCUUAUAGAACCUCCCCUAACUUUUCUUAGAAGACCAGUCUCAUGGUGCUGAACUCCCUCAGCUUUUGGUUGUCUGGAAAACUCUAUCUCUCCUUCAUUUCUGAAGGACAGCUUUGCUAGGUAGUAGUGUUUUUUGGUUGGCAGUUCUUCUCUUUCAGCACUUUGAAUAUAUUAUUCCAUUUUCUUCUGGCCCACCAAGUAUCUCCUGAAAAAUCUGCUUGUAAUCUUAAGGGGGCUCCCUUGUAAGUAAAAAACUAUCUUCCUCUUACUGUUUUUAAGAUUCUCUCCUUGCCUUUAACGUUUGUCUUGGUGUAGGUCUCUUUGGAUUUAUCUUAUUUGAAACUUUCUAAGCUUCCUGGAUCUUUAUGUUUGGUUUUUGCCCCAAGUUAGGGAAGUUUUCAACCACUAUUUCUUUAAAUAAACUUCCUGCCCUCUUCUCUUCCCAUUAAAAGAGUUUAUGCAUACAUCUUGUGUCCUGGCUUUUGAGGCUGCCACCAAGAUGUGAAUUCCUUGAUGUGAAUAUUGAUUACAUAUUGGUUUGAUGGUGUCCCAUAAAGCCCCUAAGGUAACUUCAUUCUUUUUAAUUUUGCUCCUCUGAUUGAAUGAAAUCUAUUGCCCCAUCUUUAAGUGUGCUGACCCUUUCUUCUUCUUGAUUGUCUGAUUUCAGACCUUUCUAUUGACCUUUUUAUUUUAGUUAUUAUUCUUCAGCUCUGUGCUUUCUGUUUGGUACUUUCUUAUAUGUUCUAUCUUUUUUGAAAUUCUCUUUGUCCAUGCAAUGUCUGACCUCAGUGAGCAUCUUUAUCAUCAUUACUUUGAACUUUUUAAUCAGGUAAAUCACUUAUCUCUAUUUCAUUAGGCUCUCUCUCUGGAAUUUUAUCUUGGAAUAUUCUUUUGCUUGGAACAUUUUCCUCUUUCUUCAUGUUCCUUGACUCUCCCUGCUGGUUUCUGCACAUUAGAUGAAAACAGCCAUUUCUCCCUGUCUUGAUAGAGUGGUCUCACAUAAGAGAGAAACCUUAUCAUUCAGCCCUUCCCUAGUUUUUGGUUGUCUCUCAACCUUUGUGAUUGUUUUAUUGUUAGUCUCCCAGUAGCUGAGGGUGUGCCAAGACCUAUCAGGGUCCCAAAGGGGAGGUGCUUAGUCAGAAUUUAGAUGCAGACUGAUUGGAAGACAGACCCUCAGGCAGCAGAUUUUAAAGUGCAUGAAUAGACCUCUUUUGGGGGAAGACUGGGAGUUAGGUGUUUCUGCCUGCUCCUCUGCACUGAGUCCUUGGGGAUAGCCAGUUAAGGACUGUUUGUUUAUUUCUAUCUUAUAGGACUCAUGAAUGCAAGCUCUGCUGAUCACCAGUACUAGGGGAUCAAGAUGUCUAGCCACAAAAGCCAGGGCAUCCGAUGUGUGCACAAGCUCCUUUAGUGGACACACUUGUGACCUGGAGUGAGCCAGAGGGAGAGCACAGAGGCAGCACUCACUGGUCUCCCUGGUCUGCAGGGAGGAUUGCAGCUCAGCCCAUAGAUGUGUGCUGAAUUAGAAGCCUUACACUCAGGCAGCAGAUUUCUAAGUAUGCCAGUAGGUUCCUUUCAGGGAAAGACUGGGAGAUAGGCAUUUCUGUCUGCUCCUUCUGUGCUGAGCUGUGAGGGGCUACGAGGGUUGGGGUGGUAGCUACAGCAAGUUCUUGUGUGCAGUUAGGAGCUGUUUCUUUGUUUGCUAUAAUUUUUCAGGUCUUAUGAAUACAAGCCCCAUUGGCUUUCAGAGCUGAGUCCUUUGGGGACCCAUUCCUCAAGUGAAAGUCUUGAACGUUGGGGCACUAAAUGUUGGGUCCUUUGUUCUUUGGGAAAAAUCUAGGGACUGUUAGUUCCCUCCUGAUUGUAUGCUGCUAUGCCAAAGAUGGGCUUUAUGGCAAGAGUGUGUCUCAGCCUUUCCUACCCAUUUUGAUGAGGGUUUUUCUAAUUUACCCAAUGGGUAGGCAUUGCUCAGCUAGUUUCUGGAUUUCUUUACUGGGAGUUUUUCCACAAGUAGCUAUAGAUUUGGUGUGUCCGUCCUAGGAGAUGGAAUCUGGAGUCUCCUAUGUCGCCAUCUUGGACUGGAAUCCCACUCCAUACUUUCUUAAGGUGUGAAUGAGCCUAAGUCUGUAGAAGUGCUUUGUAAACUGUUAAAGGCCAAGCAGAGGAGGGAAAGCAGAGGCCUCAUGGUUUCUCAAAUAAGGCCUGUGGGCUUCCCAGCCCUGUCCGCAUCUUUCCUGAGCAUGUUCAUCAGAGUGGCUGGCUUCUGCCCACUCACAGCUACCAAGUGUGAACUCUUCUCAUCUGCUCUCACUGUAGGCUCCCUCAUUGGCACAAACCACUCCCUCUCCUUUGUUCUUAAAUUGUGUAUGUGAACCCAAGUCUCUAAACAGGGAAAUGAUCUAAGCAGCUGCGGAAGGUGGCCACUUCGGGGUGUGGGAGACAUGGGUUGUCACGGGCUUGGGGCUCCGGCGUUACACGGGGCACGUUGCAGAACUACUAAUACUAAGGGUUUUCCCUGAGGGGGGCCUGCCCUCUGAGCAGAGCCCUGCACAACAGCCUUUCCUCUGAGCCUCUUCUGGCUCAGGCCCCUUGGGGAGACACGUGAGUGUUAGAGCUUCGAGGAAUUCCCUCCCAUUUAAAGACUGGACAGAGCCAUGACUGUCCCCCCAGGACUGGAAUCGGCCCUGGACUCCAGGGCCUCGUCUCAGCGCUCUUGAUACUGGUGCACCUUCUGAGGUUGGUGUACAUUCUGAGACCCAAACAGAUGGAGCACCUGAGCCCCCAGGCAGAAUCACGGUGGACAUAAGAGAAGCAAGGAGAAGCGAGGGCAGGUCAAGACAAGGGGCUGGAGGAGUGGGGUGCUUCAUCCUAAACCAGGGGACAGACGCGCAGGGUUUGAUUUCAUGUGGCGAUGCCUCCACACUAUCGGAAUGUGAUGUUCUAUGACAGGGCUGCUGCUGCCGUGAGCAUCACUCUUUUAAACCCAACAGGACACUUGCUGCCACAGCCUCUUCUCGCCUUGUCUCACUGAUCAUUUACCGAGCUCCCAGGCUGCACCAAGUACAGUGCCAGGCAGUUAAAAAUAUCAUCAUGUAAAACCUUCAUAAAACCUUGUAAAAAUAUCCCUUUUAUCCCAUUUGAUAGUGGAGAAAAACCAAGUUCAGAAGAGGUCAUUGUCUUGGGCAGGCAGUGUCCCGAGUCCUUGAUUUUUCCUACUUAACGUAUGUUGCUCUCUUUCCUUGCUAACCCAUGAUGCGUUUCUUAAAGUAAUGCGAUUUUAAAGCGCACACUCAAAUGCGUCCAUUUAGUGAAGACUUACUGCACUCCUCCUGUGUACCAGGCACCACACUAGCACAAGGACCCGUGAGCUGCAGGGGAACCUAGAGGAAAAGCCCACCUCCCAGGGAAUGUCUUCUCUGGAGACACUGCAUCACCACUCCUCGUAGGGCUGUAGGUACCACCUGUACAAGUGCAGGCCAGGAGGCCUGAAACCUGAAGUUGCCUUCCUGUGGGUUUCCCAGGAACAUACCUGGAGAUGAAAUAGAGAUUUCUUCAGUGGCCAAGGGAUUAGAAAACCUGGGUGGCGACAGUAGCAUCACCACCUAAGUGAGAUGUGUGACUCCCUGGACCUCAGUUUCCCCAUCUGUCCAACCAGAGGAUUGGGCCACAUGAUUGCUGUGUCCAUCUCAGCUCAAAUAAUUCACCAAUUUUACCAAAUUCUCCACUUCAGUCCACUGUCUACGUGAAUGAAUGCUGAGACCCAUUUUGAAGAUCUGAGGUGUUUUUCUCAUCCUAAGACCCAGGUUCCCCUGGUGACAUAUGGCGCAAUCAGUUGUUUUUGUUUCCGCACCUCUGAUUCAUUCAUCAUGUGCAGAUGCUUCAUCUUUGUCAUGGUUAGGGAGGUUCACUUCUGGGAGAGCCAGGCUCCCAGCCCAAAUCCAGAGGUAUACUUAACUAUGCGCUGUACGUUUCCCUUGAAAAGCAACAGACAAAUCAAGAAACAGCAAAUUGAAUCCUUCUUUCAAAGUAGCAGAACUGAGUUCCCGUCGUGGCGCAGUGGUUAACGAAUCCGACUAGGAACCAUGAGGUUGCGGGUUCGAUCCCUGCCCUUGCUCAGUGGGUUAAUGAUCCGGCAUUGCCGUGAGCUGUGGUGUAGGUUGCAGACGAGGCUCGGAUCCUGCAUUGCUGUGGUUCUGGCGUAGGCCGGCGACUACAGCUCUGAUUAGACCCCUAGCCUGGGAACCUCCAUAUGCCAAGGGAGAGCGGCCCAAGA
rnacentral:lncRNA from 1 species